UCCGGUUUGGCACCGGCAGUCUCCCAUGAGUCCCCGGCAUGACCCGCUGGCAACAUGGAACAGGGGUUGCGCUCGUUGCGCCACUUAAGGCAACAUCUCACGACACGAGUUGACGACAGCCAUGCACCACCUGUACACCAGUAUCAAAGAGACCCCCAUCUCUGGGAGCUUCCGGCGUAUGUCAAACCCAGGUAAGGUUCUUCGCGUUGCAUCGAAUUAAUCCGCAUGCUCCGCCGCUCGUGCGGGCCCCCGUCAAUUCAUUUGAGUUUUAACCUUGCGGCCGUACUCCCCAGGCGGUCGACUUAUCGCGUUAACUGCGCCACAAAGUCCGCGAGGGACCCAACGGCUAGUCGACAUCGUUUACGGCGUGGACUAC
rnacentral:misc_RNA from 1 species